GAUGAACGCUGGCGGCGUGCUUAACACAUGCAAGUCGAACGGAAAGGCCUCUGCUUGCAGGGGUACUCGAGUGGCGAACGGGUGAGUAACACGUGGGUGAUCUGCCCUGCACUUCGGGAUAAGCCUGGGAAACUGGGUCUAAUACCGGAUAGGACAAUGGUUUGGAUGCUGUUGUGGAAAGUUUUUCGGUGUGGGAUGAGCUCGCGGCCUAUCAGCUUGUUGGUGGGGUAAUGGCCUACCAAGGCGUCGACGGGUAGCCGGCCUGAGAGGGUGUACGGUCACAUUGGGACUGAGAUACGGCCCAGACUCCUACGGGAGGCAGCAGUGGGGAAUAUUGCACAAUGGGCGCAAGCCUGAUGCAGCGACGCCGCGUGGGGGAUGACGGCCUUCGGGUUGUAAACUCCUUUCGCUAGGGACGAAGCGUUUUUGUGACGGUACCUGGAGAAGAAGCACCGGCUAACUACGUG
rnacentral:rRNA from 1 species